rnacentral:rRNA from 1 species
AGCAGUAGCCACGGGAAUACGAAGGGGGCUAGCGUUGCUCGGAGUGACUGGGCGUAAAGGGCGCGUAGGCGGUUCGUACAGUUGGAUGUGAAAUUCCUGGGCUUAACCUGGGGGCUGCAUUCAAUACGUGCGGGCUAGAAUGUGGAAGAGGGUUGUGGAAUUCCCAGUGUAGAGGUGAAAUUCGUAGAUAUUGGGAAGAACACCGGUGGCGAAGGCGGCAACCUGGUCCAUAAUUGACGCUGAGGCGCGAAAGCGUGGGGAGCGAACAGGAUUAGAUACCCGCGUAGUCCCUGUCUCUUAUAC